rnacentral:lncRNA from 1 species
UAUCGUGACCAUAGAAUAUCUAAUACAACCACUAUGGUAGAUAUGGCCGUGGUCAUAGAUCAUACCGUGGUUUGGCAAGCCGAAAAUGUGCCUGAGCAAAUUGUCGUUAUUUGUAUCUGAUCUGGUUAUUCUACAUGGGUAGUUGGAAAUCUGUAUCUGCCUUUAGAGAUGGAAGUCAUAAAGAUUUUGUGAAGUAUGACAUGAAAAUCUGAGCAUCUCAUGAAUUAUUUGAUUUUCUCUGUUAUCUGGUAUGCUGUGUGUUUGUCUUGAUUAUAUUAACGUG